rnacentral:rRNA from 1 species
AAAGGAAUUGACGGGGGCCCGCACAAGCGGAGGAACAUGUGGUUUAAUUCGAUGAUACGCGAGGAACCUUACCCGGGAUUGAAAUGGAGGGGAAUGGCAGUGAAAGCUGUCAGUCAGCAAUGACCCCUUUGUAGGUGCUGCAUGGUUGUCGUCAGCUCGUGCCGUGAGGUGUCGGCUUAAGUGCCAUAACGAGCGCAACCCUGAUUGUCAGUUGCUAGCAAGUAAUGUUGAGGACUCUGACGAGACUGCCGGCGUAAGCUGUGAGGAAGGUUGGGAUGACGUCAAAUCAGCACGGCCCUUACAUCCGGGGCGACACACGUGUUACAAUGGCAGGGACAGAGGGCAGCUACCGGGCGACCGGAUGCGAAUCUCCAAACCCUGUCUCAGUUCGGAUCGGAGUCUGCAACUCGACUCCGUGAAGCCGGAUUCGCUAGUAAUCGCGCAUCAGCCAUGGCGCGGUGAAUACGUUCCCGGGCCUUGUACACACCGCCCGU